rnacentral:rRNA from 1 species
AGAGUUUGAUCCUGGCUCAGGACGAACGCUGGCGGUGUGCUUAAGACAUGCAAGUCGUGCGGACCGUAGCAAUACGGUCAGCGGCGGACGGGUGAGUAACACGUGGAUAACCUGCCUGACUCCCCGGGAUAACAGGCCGAAAGGCCUGCUAAUACCGGGUAAGCUCACGGGGCCGCAUGGUCCUGGGAGAAAAGCUCCUGCAAGGGAGUGGGGUCAGAGGGGUCCGCGGCCCAUUAGCUAGUUGGGGGGGUAACGGCCCACCAAGGCGACGAUGGGUAGCCGGCCUGAGAGGGCGACCGGCCACACUGGGACUGAGACACGGCCCAGACUCCUACGGGAGGCAGCAGUCGGGAAUUUUGGGCAAUGGCCGAAAGGGCUGACCCAGCAACACCGCGUGAGUGAAGAAGGCCUUCGGGUUGUAAAGCUCUGUUGCCCGUGAAGAACGGUACUAUCAGGAAAUGGGUAGUACUUGACGGUAGCGGGUGAGGAAGCUCCGGCUAACUACGUGCCAGCAGCCGCGGUAAUACGUAGGGAGCGAGCGUUGUCCGGAUUUAUUGGGCGUAAAGGGCGUGUAGGCGGCUUUUUAAGUCUGAAGUGAAACGCCAGGGCUCAACCCUGGAACUGCUUCGGAUACUGGGAAGCUUGAGUACUCUAGAGGGCAGUGGAAUUCCGGGUGUAGCAGUGAAAUGCGUAGAGAUCCGGAGGAACACCAGUGGCGAAGGCGACUGCCUGGGGAGAAACUGACGCUGAGGCGCGAAAGCUGGGGGAGCAAACGGGAUUAGAUACCCCGGUAGUCCCAGCCGUAAACGAUGAGUGCUAGGUGUAGGGGGUAUCGACCCCCCCUGUGCCGGAGUUAACGCAAUAAGCACUCCGCCUGGGGAGUACGGCCGCAAGGUUGAAACUCAAAUGAAUUGACGG